rnacentral:rRNA from 1 species
UACGAAGGGGGCUAGCGUUGUUCGGAAUUAUUGGGCGUAAAGCGUCCGUAGGUGGUUGGCCAAGUCUGCUGUCAAAGGGUGGGGCUUAACCUCAUAAAGGCAGUGGAAACUGGCGAGCUAGAGUGCGGUAGGGGUAGGGGGAAUUCCCAGUGUAGCGGUGAAAUGCGUAGAGAUUGGGAAGAACAUCGGUGGCGAAAGCGCCCUGCUGGGCCUGCACUGACACUGAGGGACGAAAGCUAGGGGAGCGAAAGGG